UUCUUUAUCUUACAAAUUACAAUGACGACGUUAAAGGAAACAAUGUAAAAAAAGAGAAAGAGAGAGAGAAAGACAUAUACAAAACGGUUUAAUCAUACCGGAAGGCGUUCCUAACGUUCUUUUUUACAUUCCAUCUCCAAGCUUAGGUUUGACAACUAACAGAGCGACAAUGAAACGAAAAGAAUAAGAGAAAGCAAACAUACCCCUUUUGGUUGCCUUAGCUGCAAGUUGAGCUGUUGCCAACACGGAUGCAACAGCUGAUGCCUUGCGCUGUCAAUAUGAGGCACGAGUAGCGUAUCUAUAGAAAAGAACAAAAAAAAAAAGUCAUCAAAAAUAUUAUAG